rnacentral:rRNA from 1 species
CUUCCAUCUGGAAGAAUCUGGAGACAGUGGCUGCAUGGCUGUCGUCAGCUCGUGUCGUGAGAUGUUGGGUUAAGUCCCGCAACGAGCGCAACCCUGCCUUUAGUUGCCAGCAGUUCGGCUGGGCACUCUAAAGGGACUGCCGGUGUUAAACCGGAGGAAGUGGGGAUGACGUCAAGUCCUCAUGGCCUUUAUGACCAGGGCUACACACGUACUACAAUGGCCGAUACAAAGGGCAGCGACACUGCGAGGUGAAGCCAAUCCCGUAAAAUCGGUCUCAGUCCGGAUUGGAGUCUGCAACUCGACUCCAUGAAGUUGGAAUCGCUAGUAAUCGUGGAUCAGCAUGCCACGGUGAAUACGUUCCCGGGCCUU